GAUGAAGAACGCAGCGAAAUGCGAUAAGUAAUGUGAAUUGCAGAAUUCAGUGAACCAUCGAAUCUUUGAACGCACAUUGCGCCCGCCAGUACUCUGGCGGGCAUGCCUGUUCGAGCGUCAUUUCAACCCUCAAGCCCCCGGGCUUGGUGUUGGGGAUCGACACAAGGCGGAGGCUCCCCCGGGAGCCCCCCCGCCCGCCGUCCCCCAAAUGCAGUGGCGGUCACGUCGCGGCCCCCCGUGCGUAGUAGCAACACCUCGCACCGGAGCCCGUCGUGCCCACGCCGUAAAACCCCCGACUUUUACAAGGUUGACCUCGAAUCAGGUAGGACUACCCGCUGAACUUAAGCAUAUCAAUAAGCGGAGGA
rnacentral:misc_RNA from 1 species